CCUUCGGGAGUGAAGCUAGCGGCGGACGGGUGAGUAACACGUGGGCAACCUGCCUCAUAGAGGGGAAUAGCCUUCCGAAAGGAAGAUUAAUACCGCAUAAGAUUGUAGCUUCGCAUGAAGUAGCAAUUAAAGGAGCAAUCCGCUAUGAGAUGGGCCCGCGGCGCAUUAGCUAGUUGGUGAGGUAACGGCUCACCAAGGCGACGAUGCGUAGCCGACCUGAGAGGGUGAUCGGCCACAUUGGGACUGAGACACGGCCCAGACUCCUACGGGAGGCAGCAGUGGGGAAUAUUGCACAAUGGGGGAAACCCUGAUGCAGCAACGCCGCGUGAGUGAUGACGGCCUUCGGGUUGUAAAGCUCUGUCUUCAGGGACGAUAAUGACGGUACCUGAGGAGGAAGCCACGGCUAACUACGUGCCAGCAGCCGCGGUAAUACGUAGGUGGCGAGCGUUGUCCGGAUUUACUGGGCGUAAAGGGAGCGUAGGCGGACUUUUAAGUGAGAUGUGAAAUACCCGGGCUCAACUUGGGUGCUGCAUUUCAAACUGGAAGUCUAGAGUGCAGGAGAGGAGAAUGGAAUUCCUAGUGUAGCGGUGAAAUGCGUAGAGAUUAGGAAGAACACCAGUGGCGAAGGCGAUUCUCUGGACUGU
rnacentral:rRNA from 1 species